UACGGAAUGUGCAAACGUUAUUCGGAAUCACUGGGCUUAAAGAGUCCGUAGGCGGCCUGUUAGGUGAGGUGUGAAAUCCCCCGGCUCAACCGAGGAAUUGCGCUUCAAACCGGCGUGCUAGAGGAAGAUAGAGGUGGGCGGAACUGAUGGUGGAGCGGUGAAAUGCGUUGAUAUCAUCAGGAACACCGGAGGCGAAGGCGGCCCACUGGGUCUUUUCUGACGCUGAGGGACGAAAGCUAGGGGAGCGAACGGG
rnacentral:rRNA from 1 species